GACGAAGGUGGCUAGCGUUGCUCGGAAUUACUGGGCCUAAAGCGCGCGUAGGUGGUCCUGUAAGCGGGGGAUGAAAGCCCAUGGCUCACCCAUGGAACUGUCCUUCGGACUGCAGGGCUGGAGGGCGGGAGGGGAGAAUGGAAUUCCCGAUGUAGCGGUGAAAUGCGUAGAUAUCAGGAAGAACACCUAUGGCGAAGGCAGCUCUCUGGGACGGUACUGACGCUGAGACGCGAAAGCGUGGGGAGCGAACAGG
rnacentral:rRNA from 1 species